CAGCUGUUUUUUGUCAUCUGAUAAUAUUAGUAGAUUACCUAAACAUCGUAUUUAUUACCGAGUAAUUUUAAUUUAAUUAAAAUGUUGGUUAACAAAGGAUGUCGUUUAAUUGUAACACGAGUUGCUUCAAAUGUGAGAUAUUUUGGAAAACCAUCUUCAACAAUUGAUGAUCCUGAUCCUAAUACACCUCUUGGUAGAUUGGAUAGACAGCCUAAAAAAGUGAACGAUAAAGAAUCUCCUGUCGUGAUUAAGGAUUCCGAGGCAACAAGUAAGGCUUAUGCUCCAUUCCCCGAUGGAAAGAAUCCAAAUACAGGUGAAAUUGGUGGACCUGUUGGCCCUGAGCCUACCAGGUUUGGUGAUUGGGAAAGGAAAGGUCGUGUUUCUGACUUUUAGGCUGAAGGUCAAAAAAUAUCUUUGCUAAUUUAUUAAAGACUGAAAUCUUCCUGUUGGCUCACCAAGAUUAAUAAUUCUGGACUUGAAUUGAUGAAAUUUUGUCAUACAAUGGAUUAAAAUACACCAAGAUCAAGGAUAACCUAGAAAGCAUCAUUAACUCACAGUUUUUCAGACAAAUAUUGUAUCUAAACUUGGUAAUCUUAAUUAAACAAAAAUAAUUCCAGAUUAACAACAAGUGCAGUCUAUCUUGUUUACCGGAGUUGGAAUCCAAUGAUGAUGAUUUGACAAUAAUGAGAGGCAAAAGUAAAAGUUUCCUACCUAAUUUAGUUUAAAUUGUUACCUCUAACUGCGGUGGUUUCAUGGUUCAGUUAGCAGGUUUGUCCAAGAAAUGUUGGCCAAAUAUUAGUGAACCUCACAACUUUCAUGAGCAUAUUGGUGUCCUGGUAUAUCCCUAUAUGCAUUUACACACAGCAAAGGAAAUCAUGAUAUGAAUCUUUACCUGUCCCAUUCAGAAGGCGGGUUUAUCUUUCUCAUGUUUAACCGUCCUUCUUUACGUCUUUGCGUCUUAAAAUUUUGAGGGUCACUUUACUUUCUUAUUUUGCACACAAAAUUACCUUUUCUUACCCGUCUAUAAAAAGUCAGUCGAUUGACUUUGUACAAUUCACUUUACAACCAAAGACAGUGUCAGUUAACUUGUGUUAAACUCGUUACAAACGCUUAUUUUUUCAGUCCAAAAUCAACUCAAAACUCAACAGCAAAAUGAACAAGACUAUCCUCGCAAUCCUCAUCAUCUGUGCCUUGGUUGGAACCAUUGCUGCUUUCGGCUAUGGUUAUGGAUACAGACGACCACACGGAUAUUACGGACACCGAAGCUAUGGAUACCCAUCAUACGGACAUGGAUAUGGAUACAGGCCUUACUAUGGUCGAUCAUACGGAUAUGGUGGCUACGGUCAUGGUUAUCCUUACAGAUAUCGUUAUGGAUGGUAAUCGCCAAAUUUAAAGCAUUUCGUCCUCUUCAAUCUUACUUUUCAUUGAUUGCAAAUACCAUUUCAGAAAUCACAAAAGAUGUCAGCCUUUUUCAAACACAUUAAUUUAUCCACUGGGACCGAUUUUUCGGCGAGCUCAACAGUAUCUCAGUUCAAAAAUUAAUUCAAGCAAAAUAUAACCUUAUUCAUCAACAAUAUCUACUUCAGAUUGCCAAAUUUCUUUACUCAACAAGGAUUCAUAUCAGUUGUUCAGCUUCUCUUUUAUGUUUAUUGAUUUGUAAGAAAGUAAUUUUCGAUGAUGACAAAAUAAAUUUCACAAUAAAAUCUUCAAACA